AAUUAUUCAUAACCAGCUGUCGCUGCGCUAUAAACCUAUUAUUCAUAAAAGAUUCACUAUAUGUCUAUGCAAACCUAGUAUAAAUAAAGCAUUAAAUAACAAGUCUCGUAAACGGCUACCUAAGGUAUUAUCUGUAUGUCUACGAUAAUACAUGCAAUCAACACACGCAUUCGGUGAAAAACUACUCGAAGGCUCUUCUAUCCCUGUUCUAAUUAUUAAAACGAUCUGUCAAUCAAUUCUAACAAUAACAAAUAGCAACAUAAGUUAGCUACGCUCAUGCACUAAAUAAGAUCAAGAUAGAAGAAAUAAUCGAAGAAUUAAACUUGCAUAAAGUAGAAAAAUAGGUUCGAAUCACCACAUAGGGUUCCAAUAAAAUCCUAGAAUAAAAACUUAGCUACUCAUGUUCGUAACGAAAAGCAUAAGAAAAAUACGAGAAUUCAUAAAUUUAGAAAAGAAAAGGAAAAAGGAAAACUAGGAUGAAGAAUCGUCAAGUCUUCGUCUUCGUUCUCUUGCUCCUUGAUUGCGUGUAGAAAAGAUAAAAAAACUAAAAACUAAUAAUAACGAUAAAAGGUAAAAGAU
rnacentral:lncRNA from 1 species